UCCGUAGGUUGAUAAUUAAGUCAGAGGUGAAAUCCUGCCGCUCAACGGUAGAAUUGCCUUUGAUACUGGUUAUCUUGAGUUAUUAUGAAGUAGUUAGAAUAUGUAGUGUAGCGGUGAAAUGCAUAGAUAUUACAUAGAAUACCAAUUGCGAAGGCAGAUUACUAAUAAUGAACUGACACUGAUGGACGAAAGCGUGGGGAGCGAACA
rnacentral:rRNA from 1 species